UUUAAUUGUUGAAUUCCUUUAGGUUAAGCUCGAGAUGAAACUUUUGGCGGAGAUACAGUAAUAUACAACUUUACUUGGCUUUUAAUCCAUGUGGUAAUGUCAUUAGCGUACAUGAUAUUUUACGCAUACUAUACACUGUUUUCUCACAACAAUUGAUUAGUUUCUAAGUACUAAUCUUCUUUUGGUUCAGGUACAGAAUUAUGUGAUGAUGGAGGAUGAAGCUGUCCUUCGAAGAAUUGUUUAAUGAACUAAAAAGUAGAAACAUCAUGUCUUGUUCAUGUGCCAAAUCAGCAUUGCAAUGCGCUGACUCAUGUGUGGCAUCCGUCCAUGUUGAUUAAUGGAACCUUUGAUAAUCAGUAGAUGCAUGCAUCACCUAUGAUAAUUAAUAUAUGUCAGGUACAAUAUUUGUCCAUGUGUUGUAUUUAAUUUGUAAAGUCAAUGUGUGUAGCACAAUGAAACGGAAGAGGUUUAAGUGGUCCAUCAACAAUGGUCCCAAGGCAAUGGCGUU
rnacentral:lncRNA from 1 species